CCAUUUCUUAUGACAACAUAGGAACUAAAGAAUUGGUGAUUUCUGAAGCAGAACAAACAGCUAACACCACUAGUGUGGACAAACCACCAUCAAAAGAUGCUCAACCCUUGAAAGGAAGCCAGAGGGCUGUACCUGCACAUCGCCGAGCAAAAGCAAGAGGUGUUUCUUUGCAAGAUAAUGAAGAUGAUGAUGGAAAAUAGACAUUGUAGAUUUGCUGAACGCUGGUUUUGGACAAUAAGGGGAGU